rfam:Ciona savignyi cont_28657, whole genome shotgun sequence.
GUCUCUGUGGCGCAAUUGGUUAGCGCGGUCGGCUGUUAACCGAAAGGUUGCUGGUUCAAGCCCAGCCAGGGACG